rnacentral:lncRNA from 1 species
GGACGGAGGGAGUAACAUGAUUGUUUUAACGACAUUAGUAAAGUACUCCUUCGGUUCCUAAAUAUAAGAUGUUUUGAUUUUGUUAAAUUCAUUAUGACACAUAUUAUAGUAUAUCUAUUUAAAUCUUAAAUCACUUAUUUAAAUCUUAAAUUUAGGAAUGGAGGUAAUAAUUCACACCUUACUAGAGUUUUUAGUUAGAUUUGGAGCAUCGCUUACCACAAAGUGAGUUGAAUAUCUUUUCUUUUUUCUUUUUUAUAUGACCAUUUGCAUGCUCUCAGGCUGGCUCUCUGCGAUGUGCCAUGAUUUUGAAAGUUGAAAAGUACACAUUAGCUUUUGCAAAAAGGGCACAAAUGUACUAUAAUUGUUUACCAGGAUGUAAAGCACAACAAACAUAACAAAAGUUACAUCGAGAUUGAUGCACCGUUGGAUAACCACUACCGCCACUGGAACGAGCCAAUGAUGCACCAUUAUCGCUUCUCCAUAUCAGAGCCGGCUUGAUCUUGUCAAUGACAACCGAGAAAUCCUCGUGCACGUCCUCUAAGGACAAGCUGCAGUCGCCGAUAUCAAACCCUUUAAUCGAUCUGAAAAAUCUGACACCAUAUCUAGCCGGCACGCACGCACAGCAAGUAACCCCAACACUUCGAUUCCAAGUGCCAACAGUAACCUACGUGGGUGCUUCCUCGAUUCCGCCCUCACAAACGAACUAUAGGGGAAUCAGAGCCUGAAAGAUCAUCUCGACGACGUAGCCUCACUAUCCCUAAACACCACCUCCGCGAGGACCAUGCCAUCUCCCACACGUCUCUCGACGGUUCAAAGCACCUCCGGACACAAGAUGGAGGCGGAUAGGCUCUUUUUUUUAGACCUUUUGACAUGACGUCGCCACUAUCGUCUCGCCACCGAUUCUUGACAAACGAAGACAGUUAACAAAGCCCUAGGAUGAGGAAAACUGCAGCU